rnacentral:rRNA from 1 species
UUAUUAAAGUUGUUGCGGUUAAAAAGCUCGUAGUCGAAUUUGUGUCCCGCGCCGCCGGUUCAUCGUACGCGGUGUUAACUGGCGUGCCGCGGGACGUCCUGCCGGUGGGCCUAAGUCCGUAAGGGCGACGGCCCGACCCAAUCCCGCCGCGGUGCUCUUGAUUGAGUGUCGAGGUGGGCCGGCACGUUUACUUUGAACAAAUUAGAGUGCUUAAAGCAGGCUAAAACUUCGCCUGAAUACUGUGUGCAUGGAAUAAUGGAAUAGGACCUCGGUUCUAUUUUGUUGGUUUUCGGAACCCCGAGGUAAUGAUUAAUAGGAACGGAUGGGGGCAUUCGUAUUGCGACGUUAGAGGUGAAAUUCUUGGAUCGUCGCAAGACGGACAGAAGCGAAAGCAUUUGCCAAAGAAA